CGGCGGACGGGUGAGUAACGCGUGGGUAACCUACCCUGUACACACGGAUAACAUACCGAAAGGUAUGCUAAUACGGGAUAAUAUAUUUGAGAGGCAUCUCUUGAAUACCAAAGGUGAGCCAGUACAGGAUGGACCCGCGUCUGAUUAGCUAGUUGGUAAGGUAACGGCUUACCAAGGCGACGAUCAGUAGCCGACCUGAGAGGGUGAUCGGCCACAUUGGAACUGAGACACGGUCCAA
rnacentral:rRNA from 1 species